GACGGGGGGUCCUAGCGUUGUUCGGAAUCAUUGGGCGUAAAGCGGGCGUAGGCGGCCAUGUAAGUCAGGAGUGAAAGCCCUGGGCUCAACCCAGGAAGUGCUUUUGAAACUGCAUGGCUUGAAUGUGGGAGAGGAUAGUGGAAUUCCUGGUGUAGUGGUGAAAUACGUAGAUAUCAGGAGGAACACCGGUGGCGAAGGCGGCUAUCUGGCCCAACAUUGACGCUGAGGUCCGAAAGCGUGGGGAUCAAACAGG
rnacentral:rRNA from 1 species